UGAGCAGAGAUAGCACCAUUGUCCUCCAGCCUGGGCAACAGAGCGAGACUCAGUCUCAAAAAAAAAAAAAAAAAAAAUCACUUAGAUAUCAUGCUGGGUCAAAGAAGCCAGACACGAAAGAGAACUUAAUGUAUGAAUCCACUUACAUAAAAUUUAAAAAAUAGGUAAAACUUGGCUGUGGUGGAAAACAUCAGACAAAUGGUUGUCUCUUUUCGGGAAUUGCCUGGGACCUGGGUUUAAGGGGACUUUUUGGUGUGGUGGAAAUGUGGCUACAUCUACUGAUAGGAUUGUGGGUUACAUGGACAUACACAUUUUGCAAAAUUUGUGUACUAUAUAUUUAAGAUGCAUGCAUUUUAUUUUAUACAUAUUUUGCCUUAAGAAACAUUUUUUAAAAAUUUGAACUCCAGUAAAUUGGUUUGCUUUUCACAGUGGAAUGAAUCGACAAUUCUGAAACUAUUUUUUGUGUGUCCUGGGCUUUAGCAGAAGUGUAAAUAUUUUGAAGAUAAUGAGAUCUAGGUUUUUCAUUGUUAGAAAAUGUAGUUACACAUAUGGGAAGAGAAAAAAACUAGAAUGUUCCCUGUGCUGUUGGAUUGAAAUUAAAUGUAUCAGUAUAAACUCAUGGUUUUUAAUAUAGGGGUGUGUGUGUGUGUGUGUGUGUGUGUGUGUGUAGACAUGUAUGUGUAACUUAGUCUAUCUGCUGAGAGGGUCUAGUAGCAAUGAUAAAGUAAUAGCAAUGAGUACAUCUAGACCCAGAUAUUGAUUUCUAAAUAUCAGUUUCCUCUGAAAGGAAUUGUAAUUCCUUGGAGAAAAGGUCAAACCUAGAGUUGGGGAAGAAAGAGUAUACAUUGAGCCUGAGACUCCUUUUUGUGCCAGAAAGUAGGGAAGUGAUGAAGAGCAAUGUGGAUUUAUCAAAAGCACACAGGACCAACAUGAAGGAGCUCCCACUGGCUUCAGCUGAUACAGUUUGAGUAUUAAAACAAAUCAUGAUAGUAGAUUAUAACUCAUUGACUAAAAUAAGAAUCUGUGAGUUUGUAAUGACAAAUGAAUGAGUAAAUGGAGAAGACACGCUCUUCCUUAUAGAAUAUCAACUAUUAAUAAUAAAUAUAGAAGGAUUAAUGGAGUUGGAAAGGCAUCAAAUAAUACUAAACCAUGCUAUGAAAGUUUCAUUAAGGAACAGGAUACAUACAGCUUCAAUGUGUCUAUGCACAAGUUAUUUAUUAUUAUGAAGGAAAUGUAGUGACUUCACAGUGGAGAAACCUGGCAGACACAUUAACCAAGUGAUUUUGAGGCACAUUCAAUGAAAUAACUGAUAGAGUUUGGAUAUUUGUCUCCGCCCCAAUCUCAUUUUGGGAAUUAUAAUCCCCAAUGCUGGAGGUGGGACCUGGUGGGAGGUGUCUGGGUCAUGGGGAAUGACCUUAUACAAUAACCAAUCAGGGCUCUUUAAAAAUAUCAAGGUAAAAAGAAAAAAAAAAGAGAAAAGAAAAGGCUGGGGAACAUUCUAGUUGAAAGAAGACUACAGAUAUAGCAACUAAAUGCAGAGAUGGGAGGGUUGCUUAAGCCGAGAAAUUAGAGGAUGCAGUAAGCUAUGAUGAUGCCACUGUACUCUGGCCUGGGCAACAGAGUGAGACACUGUUUCAAAAAGAAAAAUAUACACCAAAGUUAAUAAUCAAGGGGUAUGAUAUCUCCAAUUUCU
rnacentral:lncRNA from 1 species